GGAAGGAUCAUUACCGAAUUGUCAACAAGAGUUGUUGCUGGUCUCCGUAUGGGGGCAUGUGCACGCUCUGUUUACACAUCCACUCACACCUGUGCACCCUCUGUAGUUCUAUGGCCCGGGUGGGCUCUGUCCCCCCGCUGUGGUUCUGCGUCUUUACACACACACUACAAUGAAGUCUCAUGGAAUGUAUGUCGCGUUUAACGCAAUGAAAUACAACUUUCAGCAACGGAUCUCUUGGCUCUCGCAUCGAUGAAGAACGCAGCGAAAUGCGAUAAGUAAUGUGAAUUGCAGAAUUCAGUGAAUCAUCGAAUCUUUGAACGCACCUUGCGCCCUUUGGCUAUUCCGAAGGGCAUGCCUGUUUGAGUAUCAUGAACACCUCAACUCUUCACGGCUCGCUGUGAUGAGCUUGGACUUUGGGGGUCUUGUUGGCCUGUGAGCCAGCUCCUCUUAAAUGAAUUAGCUUGCCAGUGUUUGGUGGAGUCACAGGUGUGAUAACUAUCUACGCUUGUGGUUUCCCAUCAGGUAACCUUCAGCGAUGGAGGUUCGCUGGGGCUUAUAAACAUCUCUCCUCUGGUGAGGACGGAUUUCUGACNGUUUGAUCUCAAAAUCAGGUAGGACUACCCGCUGAACUUAAGCAUAUCAAUAAGCGGAGGAAAAGAAACUAACAAGGAUUCCCCUAGUAACUGCGAGUGAAGCGGGGAGAGCUCAAUUUAAAAUCUGGCGUGCCUCCGCGUCCGAGUUGUAGUCUGGAGAAGCGUCUUCUGCCUUGGACCGUGUAUUAGUCUCUUGGGAACAGGGCGUCAUAGAGGGUGA
rnacentral:misc_RNA from 1 species